AAACACAGAAUAAACUUGUAGAUAAUGCCGCUUUUGUUCAUAUUUAUGAGCAAAUGCGGAAUUAUCUACAAGUUUAUUUUGUGUUUCUUAUAGUG